CGUGCGGUUCUAUUUUGUUGGUUUCUAGAGUCGCCGUAAUGAUUAAUAGGGAUAGUCGGGGGCGUCAGUAUUCAAUUGUCAGAGGUGAAAUUCUUGGAUUUAUUGAAGACUAACUACUGCGAAAGCAUUCGCCAAGGAUGUUUUCAUUAAUCAGUGAACGAAAGUUAGGGGAUCGAAGACGAUCAGAUACCGUCGUAGUCUUAACCAUAAACUAUGCCGACUAGGGAUCGGACGGUGGUUUUUUUAUGCCCCGUUCGGCACCUUACGAGAAAUCAAAGUUUUUGGGCUCGGGGGGGAGUAUGGUCGCAAGGCUGAAACUUAAAGAAAUUGACGGAAGGGCACCACCAGGCGUGGAGCCUGCGGCUUAAUUUGACUCAA
rnacentral:rRNA from 1 species